UCACGAUCGCAUGGAUAGAGUAUUCAAACUCACAUGAGAAGCAUUUUUCCAACAUAAUGAAAAGAGAAGUGUUCAUCUUCCAGUUACUUACAAACAGAACAUGAUGUUGAAGGCAUCGUGCAUCUUGGUUAAGAACUUCGUGGGACGGUGUGAAAUGGGAAGGCAUGAAGGUGGUGUGGAAGGCUCAGAUUUCUUCUCCUUCUCCCUUCUCCUUAACUGAAAGAACCGUUGCAUAGCAUCAGCACACUCUGAAGCCAAUACUCGUCGAAUUGUUAUUUUGGGGUGGAACGGGUGAACUGGAGCAGCAGGCUUGUCCAUUUGUUCCAACCCAUUUCCACCAUCUCAAUUCAAACUCACAUGAGAAGCAUUUUUCCAACAUAAUGAAAAGAGAAGUGUUCAUCUUCCAGUUACUUACAAACAGAACAUGAUGUUGAAGGCAUCGUGCAUCUUGGUUAAGAACUUCGUGGGAUGGUGUGAAAUGGGAAGGCAUGAAGGUGGUGUGGGAGGCUCAGAUUUCUUCUCCUUCUCCCUUCUCCUUAACUGAAAGAACCGUUGCAUAGCAUCAGCACACUCUGAAGCCAAUACUCCUCGUCGAAUUGUUAUUUUGGGGUGGAACGGGUGAACUGGAGCAGCAGGCUUGUCCAUUUGUUCCAACCCAUUUCCACCAUCUCCACUAGGUAAAAGCCUA
rnacentral:lncRNA from 1 species